rnacentral:rRNA from 1 species
ACUUGCUAGCCUUUGACGGGUAACGGAGAAUUAGGGUUCGAUUCCGGAGAAGGAGCCUGAGAGACGGCUACUACAUCUAGGGAAGGCAGCAGGCGCGCAAAUUUCCCAAUGCUCAUCGAGCGAGGAAGUGACGACCAAUACUAAUGUGCGUGUUUUAAACAUGAGCAAUUAGAAUGAAAACAAAUUAUCAAUCUUAUUGAUGAUCAAUCGGAGGGCAAGUCUGGUGCCAGCAGCCGCGGUAAUUCCAGCUCCAAUAGGAUAUAUCAAAGUUGUUGCAGUUGAAAAGCUCGUAGUCGUACUUUUGGUGGGUCGGAUGCUGGACUAGAGCUUAGCGCAAGCUGAGAUUUAAUCUAGCCCCCCGCCAUUUUGUGGGCAAACGUGUUCAAGCUGUGGUUUACUCUAUGACUUGUUCGCGCCACUCCGUCACUGAGAGCAAAUUGGGGCGCUCAAAGCAGGCUUUACAGCUUUGAACAUCUUAGCUUGGAAUGACAAAGUAUGACUGUUUGUUUACUUUGUUGGUUAUAAGCGAAUAGUAAUGAUAAAUAGGAACAGUUGCGGGGGUACUCGUACUGGGAAGUCAGAGGUGAAAUUCUUGGAUUUUCCCACGACGAACGACUGCGAAAGCAUUUACCAAGGAUGUUUUCAUUGAUCAAGAACGAAAGUGCGAGGAUCGAAGAUGAUUAGAUACCAUCGUAGUUCGCACAGUAAACGAUGCCGACUCGGGAUUGUCUUCCUUUCGCUAUAAUAGAAGGAUGACAGCACCGUAUGAGAAAUCAAAGUCUUUGGGUUCCGGGGGGAGUAUGGUCGCAAGGCUGAAACUUAAAGGAAUUGACGGAAGGGCACACCAGAGGUGGAGCCUGCGGUUUAAUUUGACCCAACACGGGGAAACUCACCAGGUCCAGACAUGAGAAGGAUUGACAGUUUGAAAGCACUUUCUUGAUUUCAUGGGUGGUGGUGCAUGGCCGUUCUUAGUUGGUGGAGUGAUUUGUCUGGUUGAUUCCGAUAACGAACGAGACUCUCUGAGUAAACUGGUUUAGGCAGUAAUUCGCGUUACCGCCGGCCUCUUUUCUCGACUAUUCGUUUUAAACGAAAGGAAGCGGAGAGCAAUAACAGGUCUGUGAUGCCCCUCGAUGUUCUGGGCUACACGCGCGCUACAAUGACGAGUUCAACGAGUUAUUUCUCCUUGCCCGGAAGGGUGUGGGUAAUCUUUUCAAUGCUCGUCGUGAUGGGGCUAGAUUAUUGUAAUUAUUAAUCUUCAACGAGGAAUCUCUAGUAUGUGCAGUUCAUCAGACUGCGCAGAAUGCGUCCCUGCCCUUUGUACACACCGCCCGUCGCACCUACCGAUUGGACGAUCCGGCAAGAAGUUUGGAGUUGUGUUUGUUUUGUUUUCGGACGAGACGGAUGCGGCGA